UACAGAGGGGGCAAGCGUUGUUCGGAAUUACUGGGCGUAAAGGGCGCGUAGGCGGCCGCCUAAGUCAGACGUGAAAUCCCUCGGCUCAACCGGGGAACUGCGUCUGAUACUGGGUGGCUUGAAUCCGGGAGAGGGAUGCGGAAUUCCAGGUGUAGCGGUGAAAUGCGUAGAUAUCUGGAGGAACACCGGUGGCGAAGGCGGCAUCCUGGACCAACACUGACACUGAGGAGCGAAAGCCAGGGGAGCAAACGGG
rnacentral:rRNA from 1 species